rnacentral:tRNA from 1 species
GCGGGAGUGGCGGAACCGGCAGACGCGCCGUCUUGAGGGGGCGGUGCCCUUACGGGCGUGCGGGUUCAAAUCCCGCCUCCCGCACCA